rnacentral:rRNA from 1 species
CGGCAUGCCUUACACAUGCAAGUCGAACGGUAACGCGGGCUUCUGCCUGUCGGCAAGUGGUGAACGGGUGAGUAAUACAUCGGAGCGUGCCCUGUUGUGGGGGAUAACUAGUCUAAAGAUUAACUAAUACCGCAUACUACCUGAGGGUGAAAGCGGGGGACCGUAAGGCCUCGCGCAAUACGACCGGCCGAUGUCUGAUUACCUAGUUGGUGGGGUAAAGGCCUACCAAGGCUACGAUCAGUAACUGGUCUGAGAGGACCAUCAACCACACUGGGACUGACACACAGCCCAAACUCCUACGGAAGGCAACAGUGGGGAAUUUUGGACAAUGGGCGCAACCCUGAUCCACCAAUGCCGCGUGUGUGAACAAGGCCUUCGAGUUGUAAAGCACUUUUGUCCUGAAAGAAAUCACGCUGGCUAAUACCUGACGUGAAUGACCGUACCGGAAGAAUAACCACUGGCUAACUACGUGCCAACAGCCUCGGUAAUACCUAGGGUGCGAGCGUUAAUCGGAAUUACUGGGCAUAAAGCGUGCGCAGGCGGUUUUGUAAGACAGGCAUGAAAUCCCCGGGCUUAACCUGGGAAUGGCGCUUGUGACUGCAAGGAUAGAGUGAGUCAGAGGUGGGUAGAAAUGCACGUGUAGCAGUGAAAUGCGUAGAGAUGUGGAGGAAUACCGAUGGAGAAGGCAUCCCCCUGGGACGAGACUGACGCUCAUGCACGAAAGCGUGGGGAGCAAACAGGAUUAGAUACCUUGGUAGUGCACGCCCUAAGAGAUGUCAAGUAGUUGUUGGGGAUUCAUUUCAUCAGUAAAGUAGCUAACGCGAGAAGUUGACCGGGUGGGGAGUACGGUCAGCAAGAUUAAAACAUCAAAGGAAUUGACGGGGAGCCGCACAAGCGGUGGAUGAUGUGGAUUAAUUAGAUGCAACGCGAAAAACCUUACGUACCCUUGUCAUUCCACUAACGAAGCAGAGAUGCAUCAGGUGCCCGAAAGGGAAAGCGGACACAGGUGGUGCAUGGCUGUCGUCAGUUCGUGUCGUGAGAUGUUGGGUUAAGUCCCGCAACGAGCGCAACCCUUGUCUGUAGUCGUUAAGCAAGGGCACUUUAGAGAGACUGCCGGAGACAAACCGGAGGAAGGUGGGGAUGACGUCAAGUCUUCAUGGCCCUUAUGGGUAGGGCUUCACACGUCAUACAAUGGUGCGUACAGAGGGUUGCCAACCCGCGAGGGGGAGUUAAUUCCAGAAAACGCAUUGUAGUCCGGAUGGUAGUUUGCAAUUGGAUUACGUGAAUCUGGAAUCGUUAGUAAUCGCGGAUCAGCAUGCCGCGGUGAAUACGUUCCCGGGUCUUGUACACACCGCCCGUCACACCAUGGGAGUGGGUUCUGCCAGAAGUAGUUAGCCUAACCGCAAGGAGGGCGAUUACCACGGCAGGGUUCAUGACUGGGGUGA